GACGAACGCUGGCGGCGUGCCUAAUACAUGCAAGUUGAGCGAUGAAGAUUGGUGCUUGCACCAAUUUGAAGAGCAGCGAACGGGUGAGUAACGCGUGGGGAAUCUGCCUUUGAGCGGGGGACAACAUUUGGAAACGAAUGCUAAUACCGCAUAACAACUUUAAACAUAAGUUUUAAGUUUGAAAGAUGCAAUUGCAUCACUCAAAGAUGAUCCCGCGUUGUAUUAGCUAGUUGGUGAGGUAAAGGCUCACCAAGGCGAUGAUACAUAGCCGACCUGAGAGGGUGAUCGCCCCCGUUGGGACUGCGACACGCCCCAACCUCCUGGGGGGGGCAGCAGUAGGAAUUCUUGGGAAAUGAACGAAAGUCGGACAGAGAACCCCGGCGGGAGGAAGGAGGUUUUUCGGAUCGAAAACCUCUGUUGGUGGAGAAGACCGUGGGGGAGAGGGGAAACCCCAUAAAGGGAGGGUAACUACCAAAAAGGGGCGGCCAACCCCCGGC
rnacentral:rRNA from 1 species